GAGCCAGUGGAAUAGUGGUUUGAGCACGGGAUUAUGACUCUGGACAGCAGGGUUCAAAUCCCUGCUCAGUCA